rnacentral:lncRNA from 10 species
GAAUUACAAAACAAUAUUUAUUUUAUAUGUAAGAUUACAUAUGUCAGGAGGUUCUAUUCAUAAACAGUGGAUCUAACACAUCAAGUGACAUCUAAAAAUCAUUAGUUAAUUAUAAGUUUAUUCUGAAAAAUUUAUUUUUAUUACUUUUAUUUCCACAAAGUCAUUGUUACUGAAGUCCAGAUUUUUACAUGAUAAAUAUUCUGUUGACAUUAAAGCCAAAUUAGAUAAACUCUUCUUGAAUCACUGUAGUCUUAAAGUAGAUUUUUUUUCCUAAUUUAAAUUUAGAAAACUUCAUUCUGCUAAAGUAGUAGUAACUAGAAUUGUCACUAAAAUCUUAAACCAAUUACUGUAAUUUGAAAAUAAAUGAACUUUACAUAUCAUAUCUAAAUCUUGCAAUGGUGUUGCAUACAACGAUGUAUCUGUCGCAGAAUAUCUUAAUUUUAUCAAAUAAAGCCCUACCAAUUAAAUUGUAAAUAUUUUCAUUCCUUAAUUCAUUUCUUAAGUUUUUCUGCAUUCAGAAUUUUCAUGUUUGUACAGAAAACUGAAAACAGCAGUGUGUUGCUACUUUAUUCCAAAUUUGGAAUGGGAAAGGUUUGCAUCCUGAAAGAGCACCUGGAGUGGAAGGGAGAGUCAGGUGAAACAGGUUCAGUGAGAGGCUGUGUGCUCAACAGGGUGGAGUCCUGCUUUGAAACCAGCCUGCUGCUCUGCACACAUUCUUCCAAGAUGGGCCCGGAGGUUCCUUCAAAGCAACACGGACUAUGGAUUUAGGGGUUCAAGACUCCUCCAGCUCUCCCUCUGCUUCUGCCGCUGCAGCAGGGAUUGGAGGCGUUGCUUGCAGUGGGCUCUCUCCCCAUUUCGCCUUCAUGUCUCCCUAUUCUGUUUUGCCUUUUGAUCCUCCUAAUCCUAGUCUCAUUAAUUUCUUCCAUUGUAUUCCUUCAGCGUCUUCCUUUUCCUCGGAUUUCCCACUUUCUUACUGAUUGGAUCCCAGUGAAGACCCCAAGAUUGCAGCCAUCUUGACUGCCCUGACUCAGCAUUCCUGGAUUCGCCAGUUCCCGCCAUCCCAGCGGCCAUCUUGGCUACCCUGACUUGGCAUUUUCACCUGUUCCCGCCAUUUAUUCCCGCCAUCUCGGCAGCCACCUCGGAUACCCUGACUCAGCAUUUCCGGGUCCACCUUUCUUGUUCCCGCCGCCUCAGUGAACACGCAUGCCCACUAAAGCACAUCACUAAGGCACAUCACUCAUCUAUAUAAGCGCGCUGCACCUUUGGCACAGCGCGACUUCCCUGACCCUCCCCCUGCAGACCACUGAACCUCGCCGGAGAGCUCAAUUAAGAAGAUUUUUGCCCUCUUUGUCUCGCCUCUCGGCCUUAUUGAUCCACGGUGCCCUUCCAUUGCCUUUCAUUGGUGCCAAAACCCGGGAAGGGACACCUCCUAAGCCCCCCAGAGGCUCGAGGGGACUCCCCUCCUGGUCAGAUCAGGCUUCUUCCCCACGGCUACCCAUCCGUUUCGUUCGGUUACUUGCCACCAGGUUGCAGCUGCUGCAGCCACUCCAGUCCAAUUCGGCUGACGCUGGGAGAAAAGAAUUGGGAGAAUAUCUAAAUCUCUUCUAUAUAUGAGGUGAAGGGCCAUGCCUGGCAGACUACAUGGGGAAUCAGAGGAUCAAGAGGAGUGAAGAGAGGAUCCCUGGAGGAAUGCCCGUCCUCCCUCCACUGACAGCAGCCACAGUUACUAACAGGGUCUUUCUGAUGAGGAGAAUCUGACAGGACCCAGUUGAGCAAGGACUGGAACUGCUUUUGGGGAAUAGGAAAGACAACUGAAAACAAAAAGCCUACCUGAACCUCUUCCAAAAAAAAAGGGAAUACAUUGGAGAAAAAAACACAGUAGUUGAAAUUUCAGUCCUCAGUGGUGGAAAGUUGCUACUGGUCUUGUUAUAAUGACACAACGUUGUGUGAAAUGAUGUUACAUGAGGACCUGCUGUAAUCAAAUGAGCUGAAGUUCACCAAAGAUGGAAUAGAAGUCAGAGAGUGAGUUUUAGGCAAGUAAAUAUAUGCAAGAACCCACUUACCUGGUCUUCUGUAAGAGGAUUGAGGUGUGCAUGAGAAGAUAUUAGAAGACUUUAGCUGCCAGAGAAGAUAAUUUGGAAAUCAUCUGCUCCGCCAUUAAUAGAGAGACAGAAUAUCACUGGUGAAAGAGAAAUCACAAUGGGAUCUGAUGGAGAAGGCCACACACAUCUGUAGGUCUUGGAUUUUUUGCUGCAUAGAGUAAUCAGAUGAGAGCUUGGGUGGUCUCCCUUGAUAAGGAGGAAAGAACUGAAAAUUGUAUUUGAGAACAAAGACACUAAACUUACCACCAUGCCAAAAGUAGAAGAGAUAUGAGAAACUAAAUGAUCCCCACUUAGUAGGAAGCAUAAUAUUGCAUCAGAAAUAAAAUGGGAAUAAUUAUAGCACCUGCUUUAUUUGCAUUUUGUGACCAAUAAAUGAAAGAGUGUAUCUGCAAAGUUUUUACUUCAAGAACUCAAGGUACCAUGUAGUAAGAGCUGAACACACAGGAGCUGCCUUUGUUAUCAAGAUUUCUCACUAAUACAGCAUAUUCAAGAUAGAAUUC